GAAGGUUUUCGGAUCGUAAAGCUCUGUUGUUAGGGAAGAACAAGUGCGAGAGUAACUGCUCGCACCUUGACGGUACCUAACCAGAAAGCCACGGCUAACUACGUGCCAGCAGCCGCGGUAAUACGUAGGUGGCAAGCGUUGUCCGGAAUUAUUGGGCGUAAAGGGCUCGCAGGCGGUUUCUUAAGUCUGAUGUGAAAGCCCCCGGCUCAACCGGGGAGGGUCAUUGGAAACUGGGAAACUUGAGUGCAGAAGAGGAGAGUGGAAUUCCACGUGUAGCGGUGAAAUGCGUAGAGAUGUGGAGGAACACCAGUGGCGAAGGCGACUCUCUGGUCUGUAACUGACGCUGAGGAGCGAAAGCGUGGGGAGCGAACAGGAUUAGAUACCCUGGUAGUCCACGCCGUAAACGAUGAGUGCUAAGUGUUAGGGGGUUUCCGCCCCUUAGUGCUGCAGCUAACGCAUUAAGCACUCCGCCUGGGGAGUACGGUCGCAAGACUGAAACUCAAAGGAAUUGACGGGGGCCCGCACAAGCGGUGGAGCAUGUGGUUUAAUUCGAAGCAACGCGAAGAACCUUACCAGGUCUUGACAUCCUCUGACAACCCUAGAGAUAGGGCUUUCCCUUCGGGGACAGAGUGACAGGUGGUGCAUGGUUGUCGUCAGCUCGUGUCGUGAGAUGUUGGGUUAAGUCCCGCAACGAGCGCAACCCUUGAUCUUAGUUGCCAGCAUUUAGUUGGGCACUCUAAGGUGACUGCCGGUGACAAACCGGAGGAAGGUGGGGAUGACGUCAAAUCAUCAUGCCCCUUAUGACCUGGGCUACACACGUGCUACAAUGGACAGAACAAAGGGCUGCGAGACCGCAAGGUUUAGCCAAUCCCAUAAAUCUGUUCUCAGUUCGGAUCGCAGUCUGCAACUCGACUGCGUGAAGCUGGAAUCGCUAGUAAUCGCGGAUCAGCAUGCCGCGGUGAAUACGUUCCCGGGCCUUGUACACACCGCCCGUCACACCACGAGAGUUUGCAACACCCGAAGUCGGUGAGGUAACCUUUAUGGAGCCAGCCGCCGAAGGUGGGGCAGAUGAUUGGGGUGAAGUCGUAACAAGGUAGCCGUAUCGGAAGGUGCGGC
rnacentral:rRNA from 1 species